CAGGAUCGAGCUAAACAAUUGGAAAAGGUUCACAUUGUCAUUGGAAAUAAAUGCUGUGAUUUGGAUUCUAUUAUUUCCACCUUAGCAUAUGCCUACUAUCUAGAUAAGACGUCUUCACCGAGCAUACUCUGUCUACCUGUUCUAAAUUCCUCAAGAGUGGAAUUUAGCUACUACAGUGAGACCAGGUUUAUUCUGGAGGAGCUGGAUAUUCCUGAAUCAUUUCUAAUCUUCAAAGAUGAGAUCAAUCUUCAGCACCUGAAUGAUGAAGGCAAAUUGUUAGUAACGCUUGUUAACAUCAGCACCUUGGCAAGUGUGGAUGCAAGUUUGGAAGCAUCAGCUGUCAACGUCAUUAAUCCAGAUAAUAGAUUGGAUGGAGUCCAGGCAUUCCACGAGUCAUCUUCCUCUUUGGUCGC